rnacentral:rRNA from 1 species
UACAGAGGUCUCAAGCGUUGUUCGGAUUCAUUGGGCGUAAAGGGUGCGUAGGUGGCGCGGUAAGUCGGGUGUGAAAUCUCGGAGCUUAACUCCGAAAUUGCAUUCGAUACUGCCGUGCUCGAGGACUGGAGAGGAGACUGGAAUUCAUGGUGUAGCAGUGAAAUGCGUAGAUAUCAGGAGGAACACCGGUGGCGAAGGCGGGUCUCUGGGACGGUACUGACGCUGAGACGCGAAAGCGUGGGGAGCGAACAGG